rnacentral:rRNA from 1 species
CCAGAUCUCGCGGCCUAUCAGCUUGUUGGUGAGGUAAUGGCUUACCAAGGCUUGGACGGGUAGCUGGUCUGAGAGGACGAUCAGCCACACUGGGACUGAGACACGGCCCAGACUCCUACGGGAGGCAGCAGUAAGGAAUAUUGCGCAAUGGGCGAAAGCCUGACGCAGCAACGCCGCGUGCGGGAUGAAGGCCCUCGGGUUGUAAACCGCUUUCAGUAGGGAAGAAAAUGACGGUACCUACAGAAGAAGCCCCGGCCAACUACGUGCCAGCAGCCGCGGUAACACGUAGGGGGCGAGCGUUGUCCGGAUUUAUUGGGCGUAAAGAGCUCGUAGGCGGUUUCGUAAGUCGGAUGUGAAAACUCCAGGCUCAACUUGGAGACGCCAUUCGAUACUGCGAUGACUUGAGUCCGGUAGGGGAGUGUGGAAUUCCUGGUGUAGCGGUGAAAUGCGCAGAUAUCAGGAGGAACACCGGCGGCGAAGGCGGCACUCUGGGCCAGUACUGACGCUGAGGAGCGAAAGCGUGGGUAGCAAACAGGACUAGAUACCCUGGUAGUCCACGCCGUAAACGGUGGGCACUAGGUGUGGGAUUCACUCAACGGAUUCCGUGCCGCAGCUAACGCAUUAAGUGCCCCGCCUGGGGAGUACGGAAGCUUGGAAUUCG